GACUGCCUGCCCUGCUGGUGAUUAUAUGAGGAAGUUAUUCCGACUAGCAUGAGUAUAGGGAGCCUUAGUAAGAGCGCUCAGAGAGCAUGCCGCACGCUGCGGAAGCCCAACGCGCCCUUUGCGGCACCCACCUGUGAAAACAGGGACUUAACUUUCUUGUGUACACCGCAAGGGCGGGUUUGAU
rnacentral:other from 1 species